AUUGAACGCUGGCGGCAUGCUUUACACAUGCAAGUCGAACGGUAACAGGGUGCUUGCACCGCUGACGAGUGGCGAACGGGUGAGUAAUGCGUCGGAACGUGCCGAGUAGUGGGGGAUAACGCAUCGAAAGGUGUGCUAAUACCGCAUACGUACUGAGGUAGAAAGUGGGCGACCUUCGGGCCUCACGCUAUUCGAGCGGCCGACGUCUGAUUAGCUAGUUGGUGAGGUAAAGGCUCACCAAGGCGACUAUCAGUAGCGGGUCUGAGAGGAUGAUCCGCCACACUGGGACUGAGACACGGCCCAGACUCCUACGGGAGGCAGCAGUGGGGAAUUUUGGACAAUGGGCGCAAGCCUGAUCCAGCCAUGCCGCGUGUCUGAAGAAGGCCUUCGUGUUGUAAAGGACUUUUGUCCGGGAGCAAAUGCCUGGUGUUAAUAGCACUGGGAGCUGAGAGUACCGGAAGAAUAAGCACCGGCUAACUACGUGCCAGCCGCCGCCGUAACAC
rnacentral:rRNA from 1 species